UACGUAGGGGGCAAGCGUUGUCCGGAAUCAUUGGGCGUAAAGCGCGUGUAGGCGGCUUGAAAAGUCUGGUGUGAAAACUUGAGGCUCAACCUCAAGGGUGUCGCUGGAUACUGUCAGGCUUGAGUCCGGAAGAGGAGAGUGGAAUUCCUGGUGUAGCGGUGGAAUGCGCAGAUAUCAGGAGGAACACCAAUGGCGAAGGCAGCUCUCUGGUACGUGACUGACGCUGAGACGCGAAAGCGUGGGGAGCAAACAGG
rnacentral:rRNA from 1 species